rnacentral:rRNA from 1 species
AACGUAGGACGCAAGCGUUAUCCGGAGUUACUGGGCGUAAAGCGCGGGCAGGCGGUCUGUCAAGUGGGAUGUCAAAGCGCCCAGCUUAACUGGGCGAGGCCAUUCCAAACUGAUGGACUGGAGGGCAGUAGAGGUAGGCGGAAUUCCGUGGUGUAGCGGUGAAAUGCGCAGAUAUCAGGAGGAACACCGGUGGCGAAGGCGGUUCUCUGGGCCUGUACUGACGCUGAGGAACGAAAGCGUGGGGAGCGAACAGG